rnacentral:rRNA from 1 species
GCCCAUGYARUGCAUGAGCACUUGGGGUUCCCUUAUCACACUUUCGUGCAUUGUAAAGGUUUCGCGCCUGCUGCGCCCCGUGGGGCGGGGGCGG